AUUUAGCGAAAUAAAAUUUAAAUAGAUAAAAUAAUACUACAAAAGUAAAUCCAUUAUUAUCAUUAAGAUUGCAAGCGACUUUUAUGACCGCUAAUAUUACAAGCUCGCAGAGUGAUCUGAGCUAAACUCUAAACUAAAUUGAAAAACUAAUGCUUUCUCCAAUUUUAUAUAGUUUUUCCCUGUCCGCCGAAAAAUUUCCAGUACCUUCGAUUUCUUGAAAUUGCUGGAAGGUUUAGACAGUUAAGAGUUACACAGAGAUCGAAACAGUUACAGUUACACAAGAAUCGGACCAAAAUGUCGCUAAGCUUGGCGACAAUACCCCAGCUUCGUGCUAUUUCGCCAGUUUGGCAAGGCAGCCAAACGUUAUAAUGUUAACGAUGUUAAAUUGGACUUACCUUUGUAGCCCUGUUUUUGUGACGAUGCUUCGCCCUCUGACGCCUUUCAUGUCACAUUUUACAGGUGGUACUACAAUUUACGCAUAGGUUCAUUAAAAUUAUUUACCAUAUGUACAAAAUUCAUAGCAUUUUCCCUUCCCAAAGACUGCAUAUCCCGGGCAGUGAGACUCCCGGACAGGUAGCCAUAAUUACAACUAAGGAAAAUCAAUAACUGAACACCAACGCAAUACUAAAAUAAUAAUUUCAAUAAAUAACGUACAACAAAUCAAACACCAAGUCAAUAAAUAAAUGCAUACAUUUACAAAUUCAUAUACCCGAAGGACCAUGAUCUAUUUACAUUAUAUACACUAUGGCCAUAGUAAGGGACUAGCCUCUCGUAAUGAACGAUUUAUACUUAGAAUCUGAUGACAUAUGGAUCCGAACUACGUCGCCGUUCAGCUUGGUUCUUUCCAAACAUCGGCACAGAAAUUAGAAGCUCCAAGCCCUUCCUAACUUAUUAUCUCACCGGUCAUGUCCCAUAUCCAGAUUAUUUUCUGAAAAGGAACCUCUCCAAUAGCGACAAUGGCGUGUGUGGAGUCAAAGGAGAUGCAGACCAUUAUCUAUGCUUCUGCCGUCUCACACAUUCGGAAACCCACCAAUCUAGAUUCUAACUUUAAAAGACUGGAAAUUUUCUCUUUCUACAUCCCUGUGGGGCGAGGUACUGCGUUUGACGGUGAAAUUGCUGCGAUUCGCACAGCUCUGUACCAGCUACCAUGCCACUUGGAAAAAUUCACAAGAGCUGUUAUACUCAGUGAUUCCCGAGCUGCUGUGUUGGUUAUCGUUUCAGAUAAAAAUCCCACAUCACAGGAUAUAUUGGAUUGUCGACAUUAUCUACAAAACCUGCUUCACUUGAGAAAACUAUAGUCCUCCAGUGGGUUCCUACCCACUGUGGGAUUCCAGGUAACGAAGAAAGCCGACUUCUUGGCAAAAAAGGGUGCUUUAAUCAUGCAGAAUAUUUCUCGUCCUUUGCCUUUCCAUACUGUUAGGACCUUAUUAAAAGAUCUGUCAAAGUACGUGCUCAGGAAGAUCUCUAUCAUCGUGUUUCUCAUAAGUCUUGGAAGAAUGCUAUCCCGAAUUUGUGUAAUGGCCCAAGGCGUAGAGCGGUCGCUGAAUUCCGCCUUGCCACCGGACAUGACUGCCUACAAUAUCAUUUUCAUAGAUUCAAAAUUGUUCCUUCUCCUAUAUGCACUCCGUGCAGCUCUGGAGAGGUGAUGGAUGCCGCACAUCUAUCCAUUGUCCUACUCUGCGCAAGACUUUUCUCGCCGCGCGUUACUGGGAACUGGGAGGCAAGAGAUAUGUUAGAUUAAUGGACUCUGUUACAGCUGUGGUUUUUUUUUUUUUUUUUUUUCAUUAUGAUGUUAUAUUCUACGUCCUUGUGCUUUUGCUGUAACUGUUCAUAAUCUGCCAUUUUGGAGGGGGGAAAAUAAAAAAAAGAACCUUUAAAGACUGGUGAUAGCUCAACACAACCUAUAUCCAAAAAUCAUGUUAAGUACACAAAAAGCUCGGUGCUUUAGGACUGGACCUAUGCCGAAGCACAAGUUAUAUCCGAAAACGAUAAAGCCGAAACGAAAGAGCAAUGUCUAGGUCACACACCAAUAAUUUACUCCGUGCUAGAGUAACAAUUUCCAUACUGCUCCAAAAUACCUAACUUAUUAAGCUGAGACCAUGAGCUUAUUACUUAUGACUGAAAGAUCUGAGGUCAGAUCUGAUUACCUGUAACAAAUGCCAUAUAACAAGAUUCCGACUCCCAACAUAUUAGCAAAAUCAAAUCGCGUAUAUACUUCCAUAAAAAUGCAAAAUUUCCCAUACAACGAUCUCCAAAAUAUCAGCUCUACUAUAUUUACGUAAUCCAAUAUUUUAAUGAGUAUUCUAAACAGUUUGUGUAAUUUAUGUAACUUUGUAUGUAAUUUUAUGUUAUUAUCUUCUUAUAUUUAAAUGUAACAAUUCCGAUGUAUGACUUCAGUAUUACUUAGAUAUAGCAUAUAGUUAGUUCAAGUAUUUCAUACUCUAGCUGGUUAGUGUAUUGGGGCAAUACCUGUUUGAUUCUGUAGUGAAGUUUUUGGUGCUCCCAUGCACUUUUACUUGUUUACCUGUUCAGGAUUGUGUAAGGACCGUCCCAGGGUGACUGUAGUUUAGGAGAAACUCCUUUCCUUCGAAUUGGAUUCCAUAACCACACUUUGUCAUUUUUGUUAAAUUGAUGUCCUGUAGUUCUCGUGUCGAACUGGGCCUUCAUCUUCUCCGUCACCAAGCUGACUUGCUGUCGAGCAAAAUUGUGCAUCAUUUGAAACCGUGCCUGGAGAAUGGCACCUCAGGCGAUCCGAAGGGCAAUCAAACAAUAAAUCAAAUAGCUGACGGAGAGCGUCUGGGAUCGGAAUAGCACUACGGUGGGCCAGUAUGGUCCUAGUCCUGUUGAUUUCUGGAAACAAUUAGCGAGUGGUUACUAAAGGUAGUUAGAUUAAACCUCUCUACCGUGGCUGUGGGUGUAAAGGAGUCGUUUGGGUUUUGUCUAUGCCGAGUAAUUUACGAAGGUCUUUUAUUACAGCCGAGAUAAAAUUCCUUCUUCAAUUUUCGUACAUCAAGGAGCAAAAAUGGAAUUGGUCGCUCAUCCUUUGUAUUCUGGAUAAGUUAUUGGUUGGAUAAGACUUGUUAUGGCGGGUGGCAGAAACGCAACACAGAUUUUUUUGCAUGUUCCUUAGCCCCUUUUAAUAUAUUAGUAGCCAGCUUAUUUUCUUAUCCCAUUUCAUAUUUUUUAUCUCACAGGCCUAAAUUUCGGAUUUAAAUUUAGAUCUUCAAAAGUACCUUUAUUUUGAUAUUGGCGGUUAUGAGGAUUUUAUAGUACUUGAUUUAAAUCACCAUGUUUGCCAAUUGAUCAAUCUGAAAACAUUAAAUUUUUAGUCGUAUUUAUAGGAACCGACAGAGAAAUCUUUAUUUAAUAUCUGGUAUGGUGACUUCGGACAGAUAUGGGAUCUUCACACCUUGAUGUCAUAAAGUUUAGUGAAUUGUUUUGGAAUUCCACGCCAGUCUUCUGAAUGUGCACUAUUUAGAUCCUGACAGACAUCGGGCUCGGUGCAGUUUUGUUAUCCAAUGCAUGCUUACUAGGACUGAAGUGUGUUGAAUAGACUAGUCAAUCCACUGGAGAGAUAUCUUCUGUUUCCGGAAAUUCUGAGAACAGCGUUAUUAGUCAUUACCAAAACGUCUGGGCCAAUAGCAUCCCUAAAAAGCCUUACAUAUGAUUCCACUGCAAACCAUGCAACUGCUUCCCUGGAUUUGUAUGAACAAGGUAAGGCAAGUUGCGUGUUCCUGGUUCUUUCCAGUUCUUCCAGCUGCAAUUCAGGUUUUUACCUGGAGUCGUUAAUAAACAGUGCAAGCUCCCAUUCCUCUUGGCUGUACUGAGUAUGAUGAGGGUACCAUGUUAAAGGGGUCGCUAUAGAAGAUGGAGGGAGUGAGACGCAAACUAUCGGUUUUUCAAGCAUAACGUCAAACUUCAUGCAGCAAUAGAACGGUUGAGUAGAAUUUUCUGUGUCACCAAACCUUUUUCAAGCGCUUCGACAAUGAAAUCAAAUGUUCUUGGGAUUAAAUUGUUAACACCGUACAUCUUUGAUGACGCUGUCUAUUAAUUGAAUGAUUGCGGUUUGAAGUUACUGAAAUGUAUAUUGAGAUCUUGCGCCACCUCUAUGUGCGUACGAAUGAAGUGCGAGUUUUGUCUUUUUAUUUGACGGCUUAGGAUAAAUAAUAAUCCUCAAAAUCUAAAUUAAACAUGGUUAUACAUUCACAUUUUAGCAUGUGUGCUUUGGGGAACAUGUUGUUAGUUGCGUACUUUUGAGCGUUAAAGUAUGGGAGGGAAGAAGGUCCGGUUUUACUUUACUUUUCAGAUAAUCUAGAUAUUCGUUUAUAACUUUAUAACUAAUCAUAAUUUUUUUUUUUCAGAUUGCUGAAGACUGGAAGAAGGAGGGAAAAAAAAAAAAAAAAACUUAUCUUGUAUGUAGCGGUCUUGAAGUGGAACCUCGUUUGGGUAGCGUAGAUUCCAUCAGAAUAGGAAAAGGAUCUGUUCGUUAUUUUAUAGAACGUAUUGUUGUUCAAAGUAAUGACGGGAACUAGGGGAAAAAAAAAAAAGAAGAAUUGCACCUAUUGCUGAGGGAAAAUACGAAAGAAAAAGUAAUGUUUUAAAAGCGAAUUGGGUUGAAGUACCUAAGAAAAUAAUCAUCUUCCGGGGCCCCAGAGAGAGGUUGGCAAGACACUCGGCUUCUACAGAACGGUCUCAAGAUCUAUCCUCGGUUAAACGAAAGAAAAAACAAAGAAAGGAAAGGAAGUCCCUACAGAAGAAAAUUAAAAUAGGUACGUAAAUAAGGAAGAAAGAAGAUAAGAAAAUAUCCGGGUGGCACAGGAAGCAGCCCCGAAAAAAAAGAAAGAGGAGAUUAAUUUAGGAGGAAAACGGUGCCACCCGGAAAGGGGCUUUUGUAAAAUUUUUCCAUCUCCAGAGAUUUUGUACGUGAACCUUUAGAUUUUAUUUUGAAGUUUAUUUCUAACACAAAUGUUGUUGAUCUGGUGUGUACAAGUAAAAAUAAAUUUGUUUUACGGUGUUA